rnacentral:rRNA from 1 species
AUUGAACGCUGGCGGCAUGCUUUACACAUGCAAGUCGAACGGUAACAGGUCUUCGGAUGCUGACGAGUGGCGAACGGGUGAGUAAUGUAUCGGAACGUGCCCAGUAGUGGGGGAUAACUACUCGAAAGAGUGGCUAAUACCGCAUGAGAACUGAGGUUGAAAGCGGGGGACCUUCGGGCCUCGCGCUACUGGAGCGGCCGAUAUCAGAUUAGGUAGUUGGUGGGGUAAAGGCCUACCAAGCCGACGAUCUGUAGCUGGUCUGAGAGGACGAUCCCCCACACUGGUACUGAGACACGGACCAGACUCCUACGGGAGGCAGCAGUGAGGAAUAUUGGACAAUGGGCGCAAGCCUGAUCCAGCCAUGCCGCGUGCAGGAUGAAGGCCCUCUGGGUUGUAAACUGCUUUUUCUACGGGAAUAAACCCCUUUACGUGUAAAGGGCUGAAGGUACCUAGGAAUAAGCACCGGCUAACUCCGUGCCAGCAGCCGCGGUAAUGUGUG